GUGGGCUGCGACCGCGCUGGGGAGCAUAGUGCGGCGCCAACCGGUCUGCUGCGCGCCCGCCUUGCGCCCGCCUGUCGCCCGGGCGCCCCGCACCGCACCCAGAGCCGCAGCUUCUCGCCGCCGCCUCCCGCAGGGCUGGAGCGCGCGGAGCCAGGCAGGGAGGAAAGGCCACCCGGGACGGCGGCGGACUUGGAACGAUAUUAUUUAUUUGCGUUGGGCGUUUUUUUAAGGGAUGGGAGGAGUGAGUGUGGGAGGGGGAAGCUGUGAGUUUCUCUGGCCGACAGCGUAGGCUCUGGGAGCGCAGGGGGGAGUCUUUCCCCCUCUCUAUGCAGAUCUGGACGGGUUUUUUUUUUGUUUUUUGUUUUUUUCUGGACGGACGGAAGGUGUGUCCAGCCCAUCCAUUCAUGUCACCAGCCCCACAAAGUGACAGACGCGGCCAACAAUAAGGUGGAACUUCAGUUCAUAUGAUGCAAUGAAAGCUGCAGACCUGAGAUCUGAA
ensembl:lncRNA DBX2-AS1 DBX2 antisense RNA 1